AGGCUCAAAUUAAUUCAAAAAUCUUCAUAGAUCGGAUCGGGUUGGAUCAAAAUUUAGUAAAUACAGAUUCAAUCCAAAAAAUGAAAUGGGCACCCCAACCACGAUUUUUUGCAAGUUCUUGAAGUCAGCUUCUGCUCAAACCCAUCAUCUUGGCCAUCAGAAUCACCUCCAACCGCGGGCAUGGGAUUUUAGUAGCAACAGUAGC
rnacentral:lncRNA from 1 species